GUGAGGAAUAUUGGACAAUGGGCGCAAGCCUGAUCCAGCCAUGCCGCGUGCAGGAAGACGCAUCUAUGGUGUGUAAACUGCUUUUGUACGGGAAGAAACACUCCCUCGUGAGGGAGCUUGACGGUACCGUAAGAAUAAGGAUCGGCUAACUCCGUGCCAGCAGCCGCGGUAAUACGGAGGACCCAAGCGUUAUCCGGCAUCAUUGGGUUGAAAGGGUCCGUAGGCGGUUUAAUAAGUCAGUGGUGAAAGACCAUCGCUCAACGAUGGAACGGCCAUUGAUACUGUUAGACUUGAAUUACAAGGAAGUAACUAGAAUAUGUAGUGUAGCGGUGAAAUGCUUAGAUAUUACAUGGAAUACCAAUUGCGAAGGCAGGUUACUACUUGUGGAUUGACGCUGAUGGACGAAAGCGUGGGGAGCGAACAGGAUUAGAAACCCUGGUAGUCC
rnacentral:rRNA from 1 species